rnacentral:rRNA from 2 species
UGGGGAAUAUUGCACAAUGGCGGGAACUCUGAUGCAGCGACGCCGCGUGAACGAAGAAGGCUUUCGAGUCGUAAAGUUCUUUUAUAUGGGAAGAUAAUGACGGUACCAUAAGAAAAAGCCCCGGCUAACUACGUGCCAGCAGCCGCGGUAAUACGUAGGGGGCUAGCGUUGUCCGGAAUCACUGGGCGUAAAGGGUUCGCAGGCGGAAAUGCAAGUCAGGUGUAAAAGGCAGUAGCUUAACUACUGUAAGCAUUUGAAACUGCAUAUCUUGAGAAGAGUAGAGGUAAGUGGAAUUUUUAGUGUAGCGGUGAAAUGCGUAGAUAUUAAAAAGAAUACCGGUGGCGAAGGCGACUUACUGGGCUCAUUCUGACGCUGAGGAACGAAAGCGUGGGUAGCAAACAGG